UACGGAGGGUCCGAGCGUUAUCCGGAUUUAUUGGGUUUAAAGGGUGCGCAGGCGGGCCUUUAAGUCAGUGGUGAAAGUUUGCAGCUCAACUGUAAAUUGCCAUUGAAACUGAGGGUCUUGAGUGUAAAUGAGGUAGGCGGAAUGUGUUGUGUAGCGGUGAAAUGCUUAGAUAUAACACAGAACACCAAUUGCGAAGGCAGCUUACUGGGAUACAACUGACGCUCAGGCACGAAAGCGUGGGGAUCAAAACAGGAUUAGAUACCCCGGUAGU
rnacentral:rRNA from 1 species